rnacentral:rRNA from 1 species
AGCAGCCGCGGUAAUUCCAGCUCCAAUAGCGUAUAUUAAAGUUGUUGCAGUUAAAAAGCUCGUAGUUGAAUUUCGGGACUAAUAUGUCGGUCGUACUUUGUACGUACUAGCAUUAUUGGUUUCUCCCUUCUGACGAACCACGAUGUCAUUAAUUUGGUGUCGCGGGAAAUCAGGACUGUUACUUUGAAAAAAUUAGAGUGUUUAAAGCAAGCUCGCGCUUGAAUACAUUAGCAUGGAAUAAUGAAAAUAGGACGUUUUGAUUCUAUUUUGUUGGUUUCUAGGAUCGACGUAAUGAUUAAUAGGGAUAGUUGAGGGCAUUAGUAUUCAAUUGUCAGAGGUGAAAUUCUUGGAUUUAUUGAAGACUAACUACUGCGAAAGCAUUUGCCAAGGAUGUUUUCAUUAAUCAAGAACGAAAGUUAGGGGAUCGAAGACGAUCAGAUACCGUCGUAGUCUUAACCAUAAACUAUGCCGACUAGGGAUCGGAUGAUGUUAAUUUUUAAUGACUCAUUCGGCGCCUUAC